CCUACGGGAGGCAGCAGUGAGGAAUAUUGGUCAAUGGGCUUACGCCUGAACCAGCCAAGCCGCGUGAGGGAAGACUGCUCUAUGGGUUGUAAACCUCUUUUGCCAGGGAGCAACGCCGGCUACGUGUAGCCGGACUGAGAGCACCUGAAGAAAAAGCAUCGGCUAACUCCGUGCCAGCAGCCGCGGUAAUACGGGGGAUGCGAGGGUUAUCCGGAUUUAUUGGGUUUAAGGGGUGCGUAGGCGGAAUGCCAAGUCAGCGGUAAAAUCGCGGGGCUCAACCUCGCUCCGCCGUUGAAACUGGCGGUCUUGAGUGGGCGAGAGGUAUGCGGAAUGCGUGGUGUAGCGGUGAAAUGCAUAGAUAUCACGCAGAACUCCGAUUGCGAAGGCAGCAUACCGGCGCCCAACUGACGCUGAGGCACGAAAGCGUGGGUAUCGAACAGGAUUAGAUACCCGUGUAGUC
rnacentral:rRNA from 1 species